AUAAUUACCUGGCAGAGGGGGUCAUGGCCCGGAAGGUGGUUUCCAAGGGCGAGGUUCCUCCAUUACACUUGGGAUUUGCUGAUUCACACAUGACCCCUGUGAUUCUCCCCAGUGUGGGAACUCAACUGUGUAAUUUGUGGGAGUUGGGGAUGCAUUUAUGCUUUUCCCUA